rnacentral:hammerhead_ribozyme from 1 species
AUUCAGCUGAUGAGUCCCUAAUAGGACGAAACGCGCGUUCUGAAU